UCUACGGGAGGCAGCAGUGGGGAAUAUUGGGCAAUGGGCGCAAGCCUGACCCAGCAACGCCGCGUGAAGGAAGAAGGCUUUCGGGUUGUAAACUUCUUUUGUCAGGGACGAAGCAAGUGACGGUACCUGACUAAUAAGCCACGGCUAACUACGUGCCAGCAGCCGCGGUAAUACGUGGGUGGCAAGCGUUAUCCGGAUUUACUGGGUGUAAAGGGCGUGUAGGCGGGGAGGCAAGUCAGAUGUGAAAACCACGGGCUCAACCUGGAGCCUGCAGUUGAAACUGUUUUUCUUGAGUGCUGGUGAGGCAAUCGGAAUUCCGGGUGUAGCGGUGAAAUGCGUAGAUAUACGGAGGAACACCAGUGGCGAAGGCGGAUUGCUGGACAGUAACUGACGCUGAGGCGCGAAAGCGUGGGGAGCAAACAGGAUUAGAUACCCUUGUAGUC
rnacentral:rRNA from 1 species